CACUCCUACGGGAGGCAGCAGUGGGGAAUAUUGGACAAUGGGCGCAAGCCUGAUCCAGCCAUGCCGCGUGAGUGAUGAAGGCCCUAGGGUUGUAAAGCUCUUUCACCGGUGAAGAUAAUGACGGUAACCGGAGAAGAAGCCCCGGCUAACUUCGUGCCAGCAGCCGCGGUAAUACGAAGGGGGCUAGCGUUGUUCGGAUUUACUGGGCGUAAAGCGCACGUAGGCGGACUAUUAAGUCAGGGGUGAAAUCCCGGGGCUCAACCCCGGAACUGCCUUUGAUACUGGUAGUCUUGAGUUCGAGAGAGGUGAGUGGAAUUCCGAGUGCAGAGGUGAAAUUCGUAGAUAUUCGGAGGAACACCAGUGGCGAAGGCGGCUCACUGGCUCGAUACUGACGCUGAGGUGCGAAAGCGUGGGGAGCAAACAGGAUUAGAUACCCUAGUAGUCCCAUGA
rnacentral:rRNA from 1 species